rnacentral:tRNA from 1 species
GUCAGGGUGGCUGAGUGGUCUAAAGUGCCAGACUCAAGGUCCAAUUCCUUCUCUUCAUGUGGGACUUCUGGUCUCUGAAUAGAGGCAUGGGUUUGAAUUCCAUUCCUGACA